CACGUAGGGUGCGAGCGUUGUCCGGAAUUAUUGGGCGUAAAGGGCUCGUAGGCGGUUCGUCACGUCGGGAGUGAAAACUCGGAGCUUAACUCCGAGCCUGCUUCCGAUACGGGCAGACUAGAGGUAGGCAGGGGAGAGCGGAACUCCUGGUGUAGCGGUGGAAUGCGCAGAUAUCAGGAAGAACACCCGUGGCGAAGGCGGCUCUCUGGGACGGUACUGACGCUGAGACGCGAAAGCGUGGGGAGCGAACAGG
rnacentral:rRNA from 1 species